rnacentral:rRNA from 1 species
CGAUGUGUAAGGCUCAGACAGCCAGGAUGUUGGCUUAGAAGCAGCCAUCAUUUAAAGAAAGCGUAAUAGCUCACUAGUCGAGUCGGCCUGCGCGGAAGAUGUAACGGGGCUAAAACUAUAUGCCGAAGCUGCGGAUUUGCAAUUUAUUGCAAGUGGUAGGGGAGCGUUCUGUAAGCCGAUGAAGGUGUAUUGAGAAGUAUGCUGGAGGUAUCAGAAGUGCGAAUGCUGACGUGAGUAACGACAAUGCGAGUGAAAAACUCGCACGCUGAAAGACCAAGGGUUCCAGUCCAACGUUAAUCGGGGCUGGGUGAGUCGACCCCUAAGGCGAGGCCGAGAGGCGUAGUCGAUGGGAAAUUGGUUAAUAUUCCAAUACUUCUAUGUAAUGCGAUGAGAGGACGGAGAAGGUUAAGUCAGCCUGGCGUUGGUUGUCCAGGUGGAAGGUUGUAGGCAUGUAUCUUAGGCAAAUCCGGGGUACUCUAUGCUGAGAACUGAUAGCAAGCUGUACUUGUACAGUGAAGUGGCUGAUACCAUGCUUCCAGGAAAAGUCUCUAAGCUUCAGUUACAUAGGAAUCGUACCCGAAACCGACACAGGUGGUCAGGUCGAGUAGACCAAAGCGCUUGAGAGAACUCUGCUGAAGGAACUAGGCAAAAUGGUACCGUAACUUCGGGAGAAGGUACGCUGCCGACGGUGAUAGGAUUUACUCCUUGAGCUAUUGGCAGCCACAGAAACCAGGCCCCUGCAACUGUUUAUUAAAAACAUAGCACUCUGCAAACACGAAAGUGGACGUAUAGGGUGUGAUGCCUGCCCGGUGCUGGAAGGUUAAUUGAUGGGGUUAGCGUAAGCGAAGCUCUUGAUCGAAGCCCCAGUAAACGGCGGCCGUAACAAUAACGGUCCUAAGGUAGCGAAAUUCCUUGUCGGGUAAGUUCCGACCUGCACGAAUGGCGUAAUGAUGGCCAUGCUGUCUCUACCCGAGACUCAGUGAAGUUGAAAUCGCAGUGAAGAUGCUGUGUACCCGCGGCUAGACGGAAAGACCCCGUGAACCUUUACUACAGCUUAGCAGUGAACUUAGAGCCUACAUGUGUAGGAUAGGUGGGAGGCAUUGAAACCAGGUCGCUAGAUUUGGUGGAGCCAAUCUUGAAAUACCACCCUUGUAUGUUUUGAGUUCUAACCAUGGCCCCUGAAUCGGGGUUUGGGACACUGUUUGGUGGGUAGUUUGACUGGGGCGGUCUCCUCCCAAAGAGUAACGGAGGAGUACGAAGGUUGGCUAAUCACGGUCGGACAUCGUGAGGUUAGUACAAUGGUAUAAGCCAGCUUAACUGCGAGACAGACACGUCGAGCAGGUACGAAAGUAGGUCUUAGUGAUCCGGUGGUUCUGUAUGGAAGGGCCAUCGCUCAACGGAUAAAAGCUACCC